GAAUUUUGGACAAUGGGCGAAAGCCUGAUCCAGCAAUGCCGCGCGCAGGAUGAAGGCCUUCGGGCUGUAAACUGCUUUUGUACGGAACGAAAAGAUUUGGGUUAAUACCCUGUAGUCAAGACGGUUCCGUACGAAUAAGCACAGGCUAAUUACGAGCCAGCAGCCGCGGUAAUACCUAGGGUGCAAGCGUUAAGCGGAAUUACUGGGCGUAAAGCGUGGGCAGGCGGUUUUGUAAGACAGAGGUGAAAUCCCCGGGCUCAACCUGGGAACUGCCUUUGUGACUGCAAGGCUAGAGUACGGCAGAGGGGGGUGGAAUUCCGCGUGUAGCAGUGAAAUGCGUAGAUAUGCGGAGGAACACCGAUGGCGAAGGCAACCCCCUGGGCCUGUACUGACGCUUAUGCACGAAAGCGUGGGGAGCAAACA
rnacentral:rRNA from 1 species